GUAGCGGUCCGGUCUGUCGCCGGCACUUUUGUGGUGCGGGAGGAAAGUCCGGGCAGUGCAGGGCACUCCGCUUCUGAAAAUGGAAGCUGUCGGUGACGGCAGGAUAUGGCAGAAGAGAAUGACCGCCGUGCGAAAGGCAUUUGGUCCGGACCACGGUAAGGGUGAGAAGGUGUGUGUAAGAGACCACCGGCCGUCGGGUGAUCGGCGGGCCGUGCCAUCCGGAGGCUGCAAGUUCGCGUAAACCGUCGUCUGAGGGUUGCCCGCCCGAAAGCAUGCUUACGUCGGAGGGUAGAAUGCUUGAGCCGUGUGGUGACAUACGGAGUAGAUAAAUGACAGACACCGCUGCCGUUAACGGUAGCGGGACAGAACCCGGCUUAUAGGGCCACUGCUUUC
rnacentral:RNase_P_RNA from 1 species